AGCAGCCGCGGUAAUUCCAGCUCCAAUAGCGUAUAUUAAAGUUGUUGCAGUUAAAAAGCUCGUAGUUGAAUUUCGGGAUUGAUGUGAUGGUCGUGCCUUAAGGGGUAUGAACUGUCGCAGUUGAUUUCUCACCUUCUGGAGAAGCUUGAUGUCCUUAAUUGGGUGUCAUGUGGAACCAGGACCUUUACCUUGAAAAAAUUAGAGUGUUUAAAGCAGGCAUUUUGCUCGAAUACAUUAGCAUGGAAUAAUAGAAUAGGACGGCAUGGUUCUAUUUUGUUGGUUUCUAGGAUCACCGUAAUGAUUAAUAGGGAUAGUUGGGGGCAUUAGUAUUCAAUUGUCAGAGGUGAAAUUCUUGGAUUUAUUGAAGACUAACUACUGCGGAAGCAUUUGCCAAGGAUGUUUUCAUUAAUCAAGAACGAAAGUUAGGGGAUCGAAGACGAUCAGAUACCGUCGUAGUCUUAACCAUAAACUAUGCCGACUAGGAAUCAGACGAUGUUAAUUUUUAAUGUACUUCG
rnacentral:rRNA from 1 species